rnacentral:rRNA from 1 species
CGCCCUWAMMAUGCAAGUCGACGGUAACAGGAAGMAGCUUGCUKCUUUGCUGACGAGUGGCGGACGGSYGAGUAAUGUCUGGGAAACUGCCUGAUGGAGGGGGAUAACUACUGGAAACGGUAGCUAAUACCGCAUAACGUCGCAAGACCAAAGAGGGGGACCUUCGGGCCUCUUGCCAUCGGAUGUGCCCAGAUGGGAUUAGCUWGUWGGUGGGGUAACGGCUCACCUAGGCGACGAUCCCUAGCUGGUCUGAGAGGAUGACCAGCCACACUGGAACUGAGACACGGUCCAGACUCCUACGGGAGGCAGCAGUGGGGAAUAUUGCACAAUGGGCGCAAGCCUGAUGCAGCCAUGCCGCGUGUAUGAAGAAGGCCUUCGGGUUGUAAAGUACUUUCAGCGGGGAGGAAGGGAGUAAAGUUAAUACCUUUGCUCAUUGACGUUACCCGCAGAAGAAGCACCGGCUAACUCCGUGCCAGCAGCCGCGGUAAUACGGAGGGUGCAAGCGUUAAUCGGAAUUACUGGGCGUAAAGCGCACGCAGGCGGUUUGUUAAGUCAGAUGUGAAAUCCCCGGGCUCAACCUGGGAACUGCAUCUGAUACUGGCAAGCUUGAGUCUCGUAGAGGGGGGUAGAAUUCCAGGUGUAGCGGUGAAAUGCGUAGAGAUCUGGAGGAAUACCGGUGGCGAAGGCGGCCCCCUGGACRAAGACUGACGCUCAGGUGCGAAAGCGUGGGGAGCAAACMGGAUUAGAUACCCUGGUAGUCCACGCCCGUAAACGAUGUCSACUUGGAGGUUGUGCCCUUGAGGCGUGGCUUCCSGGAGCUAACGCGUUAAGUCGACCGCCCUGGGGAGUACGGCCGCAAGGUUAAAACUCAAAUGAUUUGACGGGGGGCCCGCACAAGCGGGUGCAGCCAUGUGGUUUAAUUCCGAUGCACSSCGAAGAACCUUACCCUGGUCUUGACMUYCMACAGAACUUUCCAGAGAUGAWUUGGUGCCUUCGGGAACCUGUGAGACACGYGCUGCAUGGCCUGUCGYCMGCUCCGUSGYUYGCYGAAMAUUUCUUGGC